GACGAACGCUGGCGGCGUGCUUAACACAUGCAAGUCGAACGGAAAGGCCCUGCUUGCAGGGUACUCGAGUGGCGAACGGGUGAGUAACACGUGGGUGAUCUGCCCUGCACUUCGGGAUAAGCCUGGGAAACUGGGUCUAAUACCGGAUAGGAGCCAUUUUUAGUGUGAUGGUUGGAAAGAUUUUUCGGUGUAGGAUGAGCUCGCGGCCUAUCAGCUUGUUGGUGGGGUAAUGGCCUACCAAGGCGGCGACGGGUAGCCGGCCUGAGAGGGUGGACGGCCAUCCUGGCUCUUAGGUGCGGCCCAGGCUCCUACGGGUGGCAGCAGUGCGGAAUAUUGCUCCAUGGGCGCCAGCCUGAUGCAGCGAGGCUGCGUGGGGGAUGACGGCCUUCGGGUUGUAAACUCCUUUCGCUAGGGACGAAGCUUUUUGUGACGGUACCUAGAGAAGAAGCACCGGCUAACUACGUG
rnacentral:rRNA from 1 species